CUAAGCUAUUACCUGCACUAUUCCCUAGAGGCCUUUUUUUUCCCCAUUACAGUGAGUUUGAGGAGAUGGUGACAGAAUAGAGGAUGUUGUUAUAGCACCUUCCAGGACUCUGUUUAAUGAUCUGGAUGUAGCUUUGGUAAAUGUCUAAACACAUGUAAGUAGAAUAAUACCACAGAUGAUUCUGCCUGGAACCUACAUACAUUUUAGAAUCAAACUAGUCUAGUUUUUACCUUCAAUGGAGAGAGUGGUGGUGAUAUUUUCCUCAGAAAGAAGUUUACUAGUAGCUUGGGUAACUUGGAGUUGGCCUUGCCAGUGGCAAAAUAGUAUCACCAGGAAAAGUGCUCAUCUUUCUCCUGUCAAUAUUUGGUUAUCCCUCUGGACUUUUCUCAGUUCCACAGAUACCUCAAUGGGCUGCUGCCUCUACCUGCAUAGUCUUCUUCUGGUACUGGAACCACUCUAUAUAAAUUGUUGAUGAAUAAGUAUCCUGCUUGUAGAAACUCAGGCACCAACUGGAAGACCCAGAGGCUGUGGGUCAACCCACCUGCAUCUGUGACAUCACAGCUCUAUAAACAAUGUUUGUAUGUUUUUAUUCAGAAAACAAAGAUAUUUCUAAUUUAAAAAAAUUUAAAAAAACUUAAAGAAUGCUGUCUUUUAAAAAAUAUUUAUUUAUUGGCAUGAGUUAAGAAUCACCCAAAUUUCUUUUACAUGCCUAUAAAAAUGAUAUAAUUUGUUUUCUUUAAGUUACUGAUUUACUGUGUAAUAUUUAUGAAUUGUUAAAUAUUGCAUUGGGGUUGGAUUCCCAAUUUGAUUUAUUACUUUCCUAUUAUAUUGCUUAAUUUAGAGUAGUUUAUUUAGAUUGUCAUAUCUACAGCUAACUACAAUCAAUUCACUUCUAAUUUUGUAAAAACUUCAGCAGCUCUAAGGAUUGAGUUAGCCAUUGCCUUGUAAUUAUAACGGGUAACUAUCUUUUUGAUCCUUGACUUGGAAUGAAUAGUUGACACUGAAAUUGCUAAAGAAUAAUGUGGAAAAUCCCUCUCACACUGUUCACCUUCAUUGCUGUGGAUAAUCUUUAACAACUUUAUUUUCUCAGUUGCUCUGUUCAGGUUUUUUACCUCUUACUAUGUUAAUUUUGAUGUUAGUUUUGCUGUUAUUCUAGUACUUGUUGGUCUGUUUUACAGAAUAUGAUCCCUUUCAUUGCUAUUUCUAAAUUUAUCACAAAACUGUGAGAGAAAUCCAUUAUAAUUUAAUCAUUUUAUCCAUUACGAUGUAUGAUAUACCCUUUGUAAUGGUGAUGUCUUAUUUUGAUUAAACUUAAUUAUAUAUUUUUUUAUUUUGACUUCAUAAAAACCAUAUUUUGGAUUAUUCAUUACUUUUACUAAUUUUUAGCCCU
rnacentral:lncRNA from 1 species